rnacentral:rRNA from 3 species
CCUACGGGAGGCAGCAGUGGGGAAUAUUGGACAAUGGGGGGAACCCUGAUCCAGCCAUGCCGCGUGUGUGAAGAAGGCCUUAUGGUUGUAAAGCACUUUAAGCGAGGAGGAGGCUACUGAGACUAAUACUCUUGGAUAGUGGACGUUACUCGCAGAAUAAGCACCGGCUAACUCUGUGCCAGCAGCCGCGGUAAU